CCCCGAAAAAACUUCUUAAAACACGAUGAAGAAGCUUAUUUUCGAAAUUUCAGGGAACACCCUUACACUGUACCUCCGAUAGGUCCUGUAAUUUUCCCUAAUGAAAAGUCUCUGCACGAAUUUUUUUUUCAGACAUUUCUGGUCCACGAAUUUUUUUCUUUCUAUUUUCCCUGCUCGAAUUUUAUUUUUGUUCCCCCCCCCCCCCAUCACUUUUCUAAUGGUCCGCCCCUAA
rnacentral:lncRNA from 1 species